rnacentral:rRNA from 1 species
UACGAAGGGGGCUAGCGUUGCUCGGAAUCACUGGGCGUAAAGCGCACGUAGGCGGCUUCUUAAGUCAGGGGUGAAAUCCUGGAGCUCAACUCCAGAACUGCCUUUGAUACUGGGAAGCUUGAGUCCGGGAGAGGUGAGUGGAACUCCGAGUGUAGAGGUGAAAUUCGUAGAUAUUCGGAAGAACACCAGUGGCGAAGGCGGCUCACUGGCCCGGUACUGACGCUGAGGUGCGAAAGCGUGGGGAGCAAACAGG